CGUGACGGUGAACGACCAGAUUUAUGAAUAUACGUUGACUACUGACAUAGAUAAUAAGUUAUAUUGUUAUUCUAAUGAGUUUCCAAACCAUUUAUUCCGAUUAGCUAUGCCUAUGGUAGGAAGAAGAGCAAGAAACAAAUUCAUCCAGGAAAACAUGGGAAUAUAAUCUUUAUCUGCCCCUGACAUGCUAAAAUAAGUUAACAUGGAAACGAGGCCAUUGGGUAAAAGAGAAUAAUCGGUAAGAUCUAUUGUAAUAAAAUGAUU